CGUUUCGUUCAGCCACCGCCACUGCCGUCAUGUGGGUGAGAGGGAGAAGCUGAGAAAGGCUCAGCCACAAGAACCAGAAGCGCGUGAGAGAGGGAAGACGCGAUCGACGAAGGGAAGGGAAAAGGGUUUCACCACCGCGGUGUCCUGCCACCACUGCUGCCUCCGAUCGGAGCCCUAGCCACCGGAGCCCCUACCGUCACCAUUGCAUGUGGGAGGAGGAGAUGAUGUUGCCAAUUCUGAUUCUGCCCAAGUCACUCAUCGUCAUUGGAAUCAUGAACUAGAGGCGGAAGGAGGCGUUCCUCCAUCGCGAGCCAGCCACCAAGCUAUGACCAAAUUGGAGACAUUGUUUCUAUUACCUUCCGUUUUAGUAAGCUUAUGAAGAAAUUGCCCUGUAUCACCUUGCUCUGCAAUUGUUUCUGAUUCAUUUAGUUUUUCAGAGUCAUUAUUGUUAUUGUUCGGCGUUACCGCCCUUGUCUAGAGCUAUUGAAUGUUUUUGCUGCGAGAAUAUUACUAGAAUCGCUGCUGCUGCCACGAAUUGGGGAUAAAGGGGAUUCCUGCGUCAAAUCUUGCUAUUGCGACAUUGAGCUGCCAAGACUCAGAAAAAGGCAAGGGCUGGAAGCGAUUUGAGUUUGACAAGGAUGCACCUCUUGAAGAUGAGGAAAUUGAAGUGGCUGAAGAUGAUGCUUCCUUGGUCAAGCAAAUUGGCCAGAGUUUCUAGUAUUCUAAGAUAGAGGCAAGAAGGGAGGAACAAAUCCAAGCUGCUCAUGACAAAGCCAUGUUUGGUGCUUCAGCACUUCCACCUCCUACCAGUACUGACAGUAAGCCUGAAAGGGAGAAUGAGAAAGAAGUUGAUAAAAAAGCUGUUGUUACAAGCCUCUUAAGUGAAACGGAGUGCUGAAAUGGUGACCAUAUGCUACCUUGAGGGCUCAAGAAUAUUUUGAUGUAUAGAGACACUAAUCUAUGUUAGAACUUUUAUGUUUUGG